CUAGAGAACUCUCAGGAAACUUCCUCUCUUCCCACCAAAAAUAAUUAUAUAGUUAUCCUUGGGCGAUCUUGGAUCUUAAUUAGUACACUCACGUUCCCUGUGGAAAAUCGAUCCUCUGGAAUACUCCCGGGUGAAAGCUACAUCGGUAUCUGUGCGCUUGCGGAUUUUUCUGUUUGCGUUUAAAAUACCCAACACUCGACC
rnacentral:lncRNA from 1 species